rnacentral:lncRNA from 1 species
ACAAGCGUACACGCAUAUCCUACUCCCCACUCCAGAGAGGUUGGAGGUUAAAUUUUAAAAAAUAGGCUGGAAUUGAACUUCUGACCUUCGAAUUAUUUAUACAAUACACAUUAGUUACUCUACCAGUUCGGUAUUAGCGCGAGUGGGAAAAAAGUUGGUGGUUGAUAUAUGAGGUUUCAAGAUCGAAUCCUAAUUGAUUUAUAUUUUCAAUUAAAUAUAUUUCUAAAAAGAUAAACGAAACGGAUAGUAUAUUAUCUUUCUAUAAAAAAAAUGUGCAGUAUUUAAAGUUAGUGGGAUUUCACUUUGCUUUGGAUGUG